rnacentral:misc_RNA from 1 species
GAUGAAGAACGUAGCGAAAUGCGAUAAGUAAUGUGAAUUGCAGAAUUCCGUGAAUAAUCGAAUCUUUGAACGCACAUUGCGCCCCCUGGUAUUCCGGGGGGCAUGCCUGUCCGAGCGUCAUUGCAACCUUCAAGCGCGGCUUGUGUGUUGGGUCUCGUCCCCCGUGGACGGGCCCGAAAGGCAGUGGCGGCGUCCCGACAUGGUGCCCGAGCGUAUGGGAAUCCUCUUCCGCUCGAAUCGGCCCAUGCGGCGCUGGUCGUAACCAAAUUUUUUACCGGUUGACCUCGGAUCAGGUAGGGAUACCCGCUGAACUUAAGCAUAUCAAUAAGCGGAGGA